rnacentral:rRNA from 6 species
ACGGGUGAGUAACACGUGGGCAAUCUGCCCUUCACUCUGGGACAAGCCCUGGAAACGGGGUCUAAUACCGGAUACCACUUCCACUCGCAUGGGUGGGGGUUGAAAGCUCCGGCGGUGAAGGAUGAGCCCGCGGCCUAUCAGCUUGUUGGUGAGGUAAUGGCUCACCAAGGCGACGACGGGUAGCCGGCCUGAGAGGGCGACCGGCCACACUGGGACUGAGACACGGCCCAGACUCCUACGGGAGGCAGCAGUGGGGAAUAUUGCACAAUGGGCGAAAGCCUGAUGCAGCGACGCCGCGUGAGGGAUGACGGCCUUCGGGUUGUAAACCUCUUUCAGCAGGGAAGAAGCGAAAGUGACGGUACCUGCAGAAGAAGCGCCGGCUAACUACGUGCCAGCAGCCGCGGUAAUACGUAGGGCGCAAGCGUUGUCCGGAAUUAUUGGGCGUAAAGAGCUCGUAGGCGGUCUGUCGCGUCGGAUGUGAAAGCCCGGGGCUUAACCCCGGGUCUGCAUUCGAUACGGGCAGACUAGAGUGUGGUAGGGGAGAUCGGAAUUCCUGGUGUAGCGGUGAAAUGCGCAGA